rnacentral:rRNA from 1 species
AACCCGACUACAUGAAGCUGGAAUCGCUAGUAAUCGCGAAUCAGAAUGUCGCGGUGAAUACGUUCCCGGGUCUUGUACACACCGCCCGUCACACCAUGGGAGUUGGAAAUGCCCGAAGUCAGUGACCGAACCGAAAGGAAGGAGCUGCCGAAGGUGGAGCCGAUGACUGGGGUGAAGUCGUAACAAGGUAGC